rnacentral:rRNA from 1 species
GACGAACGCUGGCGGCGUGCUUAACACAUGCCAGUCGAACGGUGAAGGGGUCUGCUUUUGUGGGCCCUGGAUGAGUGGCGAACGGGUGAGUAACACGUGAGUAACCUGCCCCCUUCUUCUGGAUAACCGCAUGAAAGUGUGGCUAAUACGGGAUAUUCUGGGUCUGUCGCAUGAUGGGUCUGGGAAAGAUUGCGCCUUUGGGUGUUUUUGGUGGGGGAUGGGCUCGCGGCCUAUCAGCUUGUUGGUGGGGUGAUGGCCUACCAAGGCGGUGACGGGUAGCCGGCCUGAGAGGGUGGACGGUCACACUGGGACUGAGACACGGCCCAGACUCCUACGGGAGGCAGCAGUGGGGAAUAUUGCACAAUGGGCGCAAGCCUGAUGCAGCGACGCCGCGUGAGGGAGGGAGGCCUUCGGGUUGUAAACCUCUUUCGCCAGUGAAGCAGGCCUGCUCCGUGUGGGUGGGUUGACGGUAGCUGGAUAAGAAGCGCCGGCUAACUACGUG